rnacentral:rRNA from 1 species
AGACCCGAAACCCGGUGAUCUAGCCAUGGGCAGGUUGAAGGUUGGGUAACACUAACUGGAGGACCGAACCGACUAAUGUUGAAAAAUUAGCGGAUGACCUGUGGCUGGGGGUGAAAGGCCAAUCAAACCGGGAGAUAGCUGGUUCUCCCCGAAAGCUAUUUAGGUAGCGCCUCGUGAAUUCAUCUCCGGGGGUAGAGCACUGUUUCGGCUAGGGGGCCAUCCCGGCUUACCAACCCGAUGCAAACUGCGAAUACCGGAGAAUGUUAUCACGGGAGACACACGGCGGGUGCUAACGUCCGUCGUGAAGAGGGAAACAACCCAGACCGCCAGCUAAGGUCCCAAAGUCAUGGUUAAGUGGGAAACGAUGUGGGAAGGCCCAGACAGCCAGGAUGUUGGCUUAGAAGCAGCCAUCAUUUAAAGAAAGCGUAAUAGCUCACUGGUCGAGUCGGCCUGCGCGGAAGAUGUAACGGGGCUAAACCAUGCACCGAAGCUGCGGCAGCGACGUUUAUGCGUUGUUGGGUAGGGGAGCGUUCU